rnacentral:rRNA from 1 species
UACGUAGGCAGCAAGCGUUGUUCGGAAUUACUGGGCGUAAAGAGUUCGUAGGCGGUGCGGCAAGUUUGGUGUGAAAUCUCCCGGCUCAACUGGGAGGGUGCGCUAAAUACUGCCGUGCUCGAGUAUAGGAGAGGUAAGCGGAAUUCCUGGUGUAGCGGUGAAAUGCGUAGAUAUCAGGAGGAACACCUGUGGUGUAGACGGCUUACUGGACUAUAACUGACGCUGAGGAACGAAAGCGUGGGUAGCAAAC